CCCUUAGAUGUUCUGGGCCGCACGCGUGCUACACUGAGUGGAUCAGCGGGUCAGGUUGCGCGAAAGCGUUUCCUAAUCUUUAAAUCCGCUCGUGAUGGGGAUUGACGGUUGCAAUUUUCUGUCAUGAACGAGGAAUACCUUGUAAGCGCGGGUCAUCAUCCCGCGCUGAAUACGUCCCUGCCCUUUGUUCACACCGCCCGUCGCUCCUACCGAUUGAGUGGUCCGGUGAGGCUUUGGGAUCUGAGCGGAAAGAGCGUUUCGCUGUUUCUGCUCGGAAAACUCAGUCGAACCUUAUCAUUUAGAGGAAGGAGAAGUCGUAACA
rnacentral:rRNA from 1 species